rnacentral:rRNA from 1 species
UACGAAGGGGGCUAGCGUUGUUCGGAUUCACUGGGCGUAAAGGGUGCGUAGGUGGCCAGGUAAGUUUGGUGUGAAAGCUCGGAGCUUAACUCCGAAAAGUCAUUGAAUACUAUCUGGCUGGAGGGUCGGAGGGGAGACUGGAAUUCUCGGUGUAGCAGUGAAAUGCGUAGAUAUCGAGAGGAACACCAGUGGCGAAGGCGAGUCUCUGGACGACUCCUGACACUGAGGCACGAAAGCUAGGGGAGCGAAACAGG